rnacentral:rRNA from 1 species
ACUCGAGUGGCGAACGGGUGAGUAACACGUGGGUGAUCUGCCCUGCACUUCGGGAUAAGCCUGGGGAACUGGGUCUAAUACCGGAUAGGAGCCAUUUUUAGUGUGAUGGUUGGAAAGUUUUUCGGUGUAGGAUGAGCUCGCGGCCUAUCAGCUUGUUGGUGGGGUAAUGGCCUACCAAGGCGGCGACGGGUAGCCGGCCUGAGAGGGUGGACGGCCACAUUGGGACUGAGAUACGGCCCAG